UCAUCCAAAUGCUUCUGCUUCCUCAUCCUGGACCUCCUUGCUGAUUCUCUGUUUGAUAUCAUUCUCUUCCUUUUCCUUUCAUCCAUCAAUGCCUGCAGGUCCUCCUCAGACCCUGAGUUUUGUAGCAAAGUUGAUGACCCCGAAGAUGUGCCACUAGAGGAAGCCAUGGAAAUUGCAGAUAACUUGGACAGAUUUUUUAAUUUUUGCAACGCAGAGAGAGUAAAUCAAGAGAGAGAUGAUAAUAGCAGGACCCAAAAGACAAUAAAAACACCCCUAAUAAAGAAAAAUAAUGCAGAUAGAUAGUAGCAGUAGUACCAGUAGUAAUUUUAUUUAUAUAUUAUAGACUAGGUAGCAGAGAUUAAAGCCAAAAUCAUGAAACGUAAUACAACCAGUAGAGAAAAACAACUGAGAAGGAUUGAA
rnacentral:lncRNA from 1 species